rnacentral:rRNA from 1 species
UACGUAGGGUGCAAGCGUUGUCCGGAAUUAUUGGGCGUAAAGAGCUCGUAGGCGGCUUGUCGCGUCGGCUGUGAAAACCUGGGGCUCAACCCCGGGCCUGCAGCCGAUACGGGCAAGCUAGAAUUCGGUAGGGGAGACUGGAAUUCCUGGUGUAGCGGUGAAAUGCGCAGAUAUCAGGAAGAACACCUAUGGCGAAAGCAGCUCUCUGGGACGGUACUGACGCUGAGACGCGAAAGCGUGGGGAGCGAACAGG